ACAGAUGAUUCAACUGAAUUCCAUCUAUUUUGUUCUAAACCUUCCUCUUUGACACUGACGUGUCCACACCCCCACUGCAAGGAUUCGGCAAACUGACCUCAGUGUUCUGGUGCCUGCCAGGCCCCGACAGCUGCAUUUUGGGGCAGCCGUGUGGACAUGUGCCCUUCUCUCUCCAGAUUCCUGGUGUUUCUGCGGUACCAGUGUUACUAUGGGUAUCCGCCGCUGACCUACCUGGAGUACCCCAUCCUCAUCGCGCAAGGUAACAGCCCCUUCCCUGUCCGGCGGGCUGCCACGGGUCUCCCCUUCCUCCCUCACUCGGAGCCUCUCUCUUUCAGAUGUCAUCCUCCUGCUCUGUAUCUUUCAUUUUAACGGGAACGUGAAGCAGGCCACUCCUUACAUCGCUGUGUAUCCUUUCUGAAUCUGAGCCAGAAGGGGGAACGGGGGUGUUAUUUGCGAAUGGUAUG
rnacentral:sRNA from 1 species